rnacentral:rRNA from 1 species
GUAGUCAUGGGCGAGCCUGUCCAGCCAUGCCGCGUGUGUGAAGAAGGUCUUCGGAUUGUAAAGCACUUUAAGUUGGGAGGAAGGGCAGUAAGUUAAUACCUUGCUGUUUUGACGUUACCAACAGAAUAAGCACCGGCUAACUUCGUGCCAGCAGCCGCGGUAAUA